GACGAACGCUGGCGGCGUGCUUAACACAUGCGAGUCGAGCGGAAAGGCCCUGCUUUUGUGGGGUGCUCGAGUGGCGAACGGGUGAGUAACACGUGAGUAACCUGCCCUUGACUUUGGGAUAACUUCAGGAAACUGGGGCUAAUACCGGAUAGGAGCUCCUGCUGCAUGGUGGGGGUUGGAAAGUUUCGGCGGUUGGGGAUGGACUCGCGGCUUAUCAGCUUGUUGGUGGGGUAGUGGCUUACCAAGGCUUUGACGGGUAGCCGGCCUGAGAGGGUGACCGGCCACAUUGGGACUGAGAUACGGCCCAGACUCCUACGGGAGGCAGCAGUGGGGAAUAUUGCACAAUGGGCGGAAGCCUGAUGCAGCAACGCCGCGUGCGGGAUGACGGCCUUCGGGUUGUAAACCGCUUUCGCCUGUGACGAAGCGUGAGUGACGGUAAUGGGUAAAGAAGCACCGGCUAACUACGU
rnacentral:rRNA from 1 species